rnacentral:rRNA from 2 species
UUCCUACGGGGGGCUGCAGUGGGGAAUAUUGGACAAUGGGCGCAAGCCUGAUCCAGCCAUGCCGCGUGAGUGAUGACGGCCUUCGGGUUGUAAAGCUCUUUUGUCCGGGAAGAUAAUGACUGUACCGGAAGAAUAAGCCCCGGCAAACUUCGUGCCAGCAGCCGCGGUAAUACGAAGGGGGCUAGCGUUGUUCGGAUUUACUGGGCGUAAAGCGCACGUAGGCGGCUUGUUAAGUCAGAGGUGAAAGCCUGGAGCUCAACUCCAGAACUGCCUUUGAUACUGGCAAGCUCGAGUAUGGAAGAGGUUGGUGGAACUCCGAGUGUAGAGGUGAAAUUCGUAGAUAUUCGGAAGAACACCAGUGGCGAAGGCGGCCAACUGGUCCAUUACUGACGCUGAGGUGCGAAAGCGUGGGGAGCAAACAGGAUUAGAUUCCCUAGUAGUCCA